ACCAAAUUUAAUGGCGAAGAUUGUCUACACAGUGUAGUUAACUGCACAUUUGCCAAUACAUUUCCGAUGCAUAGAAAUAUUUUGCUUGGAUUUAAUUUUCAGGGAUGGACCCAUGACCGAUGAAAAUGGUUGUAGGACUUGCCAAUGAAAGGUGUAUGAUUCAUACUACACAUUUUAUUGUGAACAUGGUUUUAUAAAAGAUGAAAUGGGGAACUCGAAAUGUGAAGGCUGUAAAUUAUAUUUCUACUUUUUUUUUAAAAAAAUUUAUAGUCAAGUUUAGGAAAAUUGUAUCAAAAUAAAUUGUUUUGUUAGUCCCAGCUUACCUACCAAACGAAUUACAAAUGUAGUGAAACUAAUUAGUUCGUUUGUCCAAACGUUUUAAAAAGAAAAUUCGUAUUUUUGAUAUAUUGAUUGUUUUUUUUAAUGGAAACAUCUUAGUAUUUUCCGGGUAGUCUUAACCUACUUAUUAUUAGAAGACCAAGAAGUCAUAAAAGAGAAAGAGGACAAAUGAAAUUUAUUUAUUAAGACAUAUAUAUUUUUUGUUUUCUACUCGAUCUUUCAAGAUAUGUAUAAAAGAUACGAAGGCCAACUCAAAAUAAAUGUGCUUAUUUUAAAUGUACGAAAAACAUGAUUUCAAAAUUUAAUUUUGCUCGAAAAUUCGUAACUAAUUUUAGUUAUGAAAUUUGGUUACUCGAUUUUAAUAACAUAAAAUGACAAACUUCGUAACUAAUUUAGAGAAGCUAGGGCAAAGAAUUAUAGAUUAUACUAUAUAUUUAAAAAAUCGACAAUAUGUGAGUUUCCCAUUAUAGUUGGAUUAUUCCUCUAUUUUUAGCCUGAAGAAAAAUCAUCACCUAAGCCUUGGAUCUUUUCAUUUAAACAUAGUCAAACUUUGAAUAAAGCAUUAAUAGAUAACUCGCGUCUCGAGGCUUAUCUGAUCCUCUAUUUGCUGGUAGAAUAAGAAGAAUUAGCAGAUUUUUAGUCAGCAAUCCAAUUAUAACUUCUUUUAUACUCAUAUAUAAAAAGUAUAUUAAAUAAUUUUAUAAGAUUGUCAAUUUUUUCAUUAAGAAAAUCUUUACCCCAAUGGGUAUGCCGUAGAUUCUAGUGAGUAAGUUAGAAAUAUUUUUUAUAUUUUUUUAAAAAAAAUAAUAUUAAUUUUAUAUAAAAUUUAAAAAUAUGAAUUUUUGUUACGCAGAAGAAAUUUAUUGAUUGAUUUUAGUGCAAGCCUUGUUUUUUUCAAAAGAAAUUAUGAGAUAACCGAAUUAAUCUAUGUUUUUUCAAAUAUUUAUUUAUUACAAAAUCAUUUAUAAAUUACACUUUAACAAUUAUAUAUAUCAAUAUCAUGAAUCAAAAUAAUUUUGUGUUGUAAACGAACGAGUUCAAAAUGAACGCAUUCGUGAACGAAGUUCGUUUUUUAGAAAAAAACGAUGAACGGCGUUCCUUUUAUUUUUUACGGACUUUGAACAUGAAUGCGUUCCUUUUUUAUGACGAACGCGUUCGAAUUUAACGUUCGUUCAAUUUUAAAAAUAUUUUUAUUUAUUUGAAUUUAAUAUUUCCGAAUUUUUUUAAAAAAUGUAUUAUUUAUAUUUUUUA